GACGAACGCUGGCGGCGUGCUUAACACAUGCAAGUCGAACGGAAAGGCCCUGCUUUUGUGGGGUGCUCGAGUGGCGAACGGGUGAGUAACACGUGAGUAGCCUGCCCUUGACUUUGGGAUAACUUCAGGAAACUGGGGCUAAUACCGGAUAGGAGCUCCUGCUGCAUGGUGGGGGUUGGAAAGUUUCGGCGGUUGGGGAUGGACUCGCGGCUUAUCAGCUUGUUGGUGGGGUAUUGGCUUACCAAGGCUUUGACGGGUAGCCGGCCUGAGAGGGUGACCGGCCACAUUGGGACUGAGAUACGGCCCAGACUCCUACGGGAGGCAGCAGUGGGGAAUAUUGCACAAUGGGCUGAAGCCUGAUGCAGCAACGCCGCGUGCGGGAUGACGGCCUUCGGGUUGUAAACCGCUUUCGCCUGUGACGAAGCGUGAGUGACGGUAAUGGGUAAAGAAGCACCGGCUAACUACGUG
rnacentral:rRNA from 1 species